rnacentral:rRNA from 1 species
AGAGUUUGAUCAUGGCUCAGGACGAACGCUGGCGGCGUGCCUAAUACAUGCAAGUCGAGCGCGGGAAGCAGACUGAUCCCUUCGGGGUGACGUCUGUGGAACGAGCGGCGGACGGGUGAGUAACACGUGGGCAACCUGCCUGUAAGAUCGGGAUAACUUGCGGAAACGUGAGCUAAUACCGGAUAAUGCUCCACACCUCCUGGUGUGGAGAUGAAAGACGGUUUUGCUGUCACUUACAGAUGGGCCCGCGGCGCAUUAGCUAGUUGGUGGGGUAAUGGCCUACCAAGGCGACGAUGCGUAGCCGACCUGAGAGGGUGAUCGGCCACACUGGAACUGAGACACGGCCCAGACUCCUACGGGAGGCAGCAGUAGGGAAUCUUCCGCAAUGGACGAAAGUCUGACGGAGCAACGCCGCGUGAGCGAUGAAGGUCUUCGGAUCGUAAAGCUCUGUUGUUAGGGAAGAACAAGUGCGAGAGUAACUGCUCGCACCUUGACGGUACCUAACCAGAAAGCCACGGCUAACUACGUGCCAGCAGCCGCGGUAAUACGUAGGUGGCAAGCGUUGUCCGGAAUUAUUGGGCGUAAAGGGCUCGCAGGCGGUCUUCUAAGUCUGAUGUGAAAUCUUGCGGCUUAACCGAAAGCGGUCAUUGGAAACUGGAGGACUUGAGUACAGAAGAGGAGAGUGGAAUUCCACGUGUAGCGGUGAAAUGCGUAGAGAUGUGGAGGAACACCAGUGGCGAAGGCGACUCUCUGGUCUGUAACUGACGCUGAGGAGCGAAAGCGUGGGGAGCAAACAGGAUUAGAUACCCUGGUAGUCCACGCCGUAAACGAUGAGUGCUAGGUGUUAGGGGGUUUCCGCCCCUUAGUGCUGCAGUUAACGCAUUAAGCACUCCGCCUGGGGAGUACGGCCGCAAGGCUGAAACUCAAAUGAAUUGACGG